GCCAGACGCUGGUACCGGGCCCUGGGAGGAUGGGACCUGUGGCAACAGCUACCAUGGGGACUGCGCUGCAGUGACAUUCCGUCCACUUCCAUCUGGUGUGAAAGGCAAAAAGCAUCCUGAAGGCAUCAGUGUUUGAUGAGCUCACAGUUGUUGUAGAGGGGCUGUCUGAAUGGAGGUCCUCUGUUGAAGACCAGCGCCACAGUGAGGUACUGGCAGCCAGAUACGAAGAAAAGGCUGGUAUUCUGCAGAUUCUGGAUAUUGUGAGACUCGUCCUCAUCUUCCUCGCUCAUCAGGACCCCACUCCCAUUGGCUGUCAUCGUUGAUAGGUUCCCAGCCAGCCAAUCAGAGGGGUGAGUCUCAUUCUGGGCAGAUUCACAGGAGCUGUGUGUAGAGUUCAAAUAUGAACACCACUUUAAAUACAGUAUGUACACUGUUAGAAUAUUUUCAUGGUUGUAUUGCCCUCCACAGACUCAAAAUCAACAGCAAAUAGUAACCUUAUUGAAGUGUAACAAGUCCCUCUACUUCCCUUUCUUUUUUAGCUCUCCCCCCCUCCUCCCCUUUCUUCUUUCUCUUCCCCCCCACCUUCCCCUCCAUUUCCCUCUCCCUCUCUCACUAUGUGUGGGCCAGCAGGAAGGUGGCUGUCUGGAAGGAGAGAGCCAGUAAGAUCUGCCCGAUGACAGAGAGCAGAAGAGAGGGAGAGAGGAGGGAGGAGGGGGGGCGCUGUGCCACUAACUCUUUCCAGGCAGGGCUCAGACUCACUGUAUCAGAGAGAGAGAGAAAGAGAGAGAGAGAGAGAGAGAGAGAGAGAGAGCGAGACAGAGGGAGAGAGAGAGACAGAGAGAGAUGAGAGUAUAUUUGUGUGUCUAUGUGAGUGUCUCUGUCUGUGUGUGUGCGUGUGUGUGUGUGCGUGUAGAAGAGUUGUGAUUAGUCUGUGGUGUUUUCUCCAGAUCUGAUGCACUGAGCUUGCAUGCCAUAAAAUUUCAUGAUGAACAGAGAUUUCAUAGUGGUACGUCUCUUUAGGUUCAGUCCUCGGUUCAAAAGAACAGAAUGCAUCGAAGUAACUCAAUUAUUCAGCCACUGAAACUGAGACCAUUAAACUGUGGAUGCCAGUCGCCAUAUCAGUU